UGAAAUACCUAGACGGGGUCUAACGGGUGAUCAACAAUGCCUGUUGCCUAGAUCCGCGACCUUCAUUGCACUUUGAAGGGGCACUGGUCUACCAUAUGCCCAAGUGGUAGAGUGGACGUCAUAAUUUGUGUAUAUUAUAUUUUACACACAUAUUU